UUUCCGGCCGCCACGUGACUCGGGCUCCUGUCAAAUGUUUGCGAGGCGAGCGCAAGGGGAGGGGGAGGGAAAGCAGAGCGGGAAGAGCGGCGCUGCUGCUGCUACUGCAGCAACCCGGGGGGCGGCGGGGCGACUCGAGGGAAGAGCCGCCAUAAAGGGAGCGCGCUCAAGAGAGAGCUGGGAUAACAACAAAGGAUUCCCCGCAAAGGGAGACUUUUGCAUACGCUGGAAGGAUUCUUGGACCUCCGUCGUCUUCUUGACGGACAUUAAUUGCCUACUCUGGAUUGACGCUGGACUGACUGACUGACUACGACCUCGGACUACCCCUUCUGUGGCUUUCGGUGGAAUUGGUGAAUUAGAGACGUCUGUACCUGGCUUUCGACCUCGGACCGGACUGGGACCCUGCUGACCGUUGCUGCCCUGAUUGAUGUGCCGGGAUCCGGAUUCCGUUUGUUGCACGGAGGAGUAACAACCUUAGUUACUCAUUUGCAGCUUUCGAAGUAGCAGAGAGGAAUCUGCUGCCAGCUUUUUAUGUUUCUUUGAGUCUUUGUUUAUCAACUUUUGUUUGUUCAAAUUGCCAGGCUGAAGUAAGCAUUUUCUGUUUUACCCGGAUUAAACUCCUGUUUAAUCCGGUUUAUCUUUUGUACCGCUUUUAGUAUCAGCGGAGUCUUUUUUGUGUAUCUUUACACUGAAGGCAAGUGUUUGCCUAGUCCUUUGUUUCAUACGGGCACUUUUUGGUUCUGUAACUUUAAUAAACUGUAUUGAACUUUA